rnacentral:rRNA from 1 species
UACGAAGGGUGCAAGCGUUAAUCGGAAUUACUGGGCGUAAAGCGCGCGUAGGUGGUUCAGCAAGUUGGAUGUGAAAGCCCUGGGCUCAACCUGGGAACUGCAUCCAAAACUACUGAGCUAGAGUACGGUAGAGGAGAGUGGAAUUCCCGGUGUAGCAGUGAAAUGCGUAGAGAUCGGGAGGAACAUCAGUGGCGAAGGCGACUACCUGGACUGAUACUGACACUGAGGUGCGAAAGCGUGGGGAGCAAACAGGAUUAGAAACCCUAGUAGU